rnacentral:rRNA from 1 species
UAAGGUCUCGCCUGCCCACUGAAAAUUUAAAUGGCCGCGGUAAUUUGACCGUGCUAAGGNAGCAUAAUCAUUAGUUUUUUAAUUGAAAGCUUGUAUGAAUGGUUGGAUGAGAAAAUAGCUGUCUCUUUAAAAUUUAUAUUGAAUUUUAUUUUUAAGUAAAAAAGCUUAAAUUUAUUUAAAAGACGAGAAGACCCUAUAGAGUUUNAUAGUUUUUAAUUUUUGACGUUUUAGAAUUUUAAAUUUAAAGAUUAAAUUUUAUUUGAUUGGGGUGAUUGAAAAAUUUGUUAAACUUUUUUAUAAUUUUUACAUAAAUUAAUGAUUGAUUGAUCCAUAAAAAUGAUUAAAAGAUUAAAUUACCUUAGGGAUACCAGCGUAAUUUUUUUUAAGAGUUCUAAUCGAAAAAGAAGAUUGCGACCUCGAUGUUGGAUUAAAGUUAAUUUNUGGUGUAGAAGCUAAGUA